rnacentral:rRNA from 1 species
AGAGUUUGAUCAUGGCUCAGAUUGAACGCUGGCGGCAGGCCUAACACAUGCAAGUCGAACGGUAACAGGAAACAGCUUGCUGUUUCGCUGACGAGUGGCGGACGGGUGAGUAAUGUCUGGGAAACUGCCUGAUGGAGGGGGAUAACUACUGGAAACGGUAGCUAAUACCGCAUAACGUCGCAAGACCAAAGAGGGGGACCUUCGGGCCUCUUGCCAUCAGAUGUGCCCAGAUGGGAUUAGCUAGUAGGUGGGGUAACGGCUCACCUAGGCGACGAUCCCUAGCUGGUCUGAGAGGAUGACCAGCCACACUGGAACUGAGACACGGUCCAGACUCCUACGGGAGGCAGCAGUGGGGAAUAUUGCACAAUGGGCGCAAGCCUGAUGCAGCCAUGCCGCGUGUAUGAAGAAGGCCUUCGGGUUGUAAAGUACUUUCAGCGGGGAGGAAGGGAGUAAAGUUAAUACCUUUGCUCAUUGACGUUACCCGCAGAAGAAGCACCGGCUAACUCCGUGCCAGCAGCCGCGGUAAUACGGGGGUGCAAGCGUUAAUCGGAAUUACUGGGCGUAAAGCGCACGCAGGCGGUUUGUUAAGUCAGAUGUGAAAUCCCCGGGCUCAACCUGGGAACUGCAUCUGAUACUGGCAAGCUUGAGUCUCGUAGAGGGGGGUAGAAUUCCAGGUGUAGCGGUGAAAUGCGUAGAGAUCUGGAGGAAUACCGGUGGCGAAGGCGGCCCCCUGGACGAAGACUGACGCUCAGGUGCGAAAGCGUGGGGAGCAAACAGGAUUAGAUACCCUGGUAGUCCACGCCGUAAACGAUGUCGACUUGGAGGUUGUGCCCUUGAGGCGUGGCUUCCGGAGCUAACGCGUUAAGUCGACCGCCUGGGGAGUACGGCCGCAAGGUUAAAACUCAAAUGAAUUGACGGGGGCCCGCACAAGCGGUGGAGCAUGUGGUUUAAUUCGAUGCAACGCGAAGAACCUUACCUGGUCUUGACAUCCACGGAAGUUUUCAGAGAUGAGAAUGUGCCUUCGGGAACCGUGAGACAGGUGCUGCAUGGCUGUCGUCAGCUCGUGUUGUGAAAUGUUGGGUUAAGUCCCGCAACGAGCGCAACCCUUAUCCUUUGUUGCCAGCGGUCCGGCCGGGAACUCAAAGGAGACUGACAGUGAUAAACUGGAGGAAGGUGGGGAUGACGUCAAGUCAUCAUGCCCCUUACGACCAGGGCUACACACGUGCUACAAUGGCGCAUACAAAGAGAAGCGACCUCGCGAGAGCAAGCGGACCUCAUAAAGUGCGUCGUAGUCCGGAUUGGAGUCUGCAACUCGACUCCAUGAAGUCGGAAUCGCUAGUAAUCGUGGAUCAGAACGCCACGGUGAAUACGUUCCCGGGCCUUGUACACACCGCCCGUCACACCAUGGGAGUGGGUUGCAAAAGAAGUAGGUAGCUUAACCUUCGGGAGGGCGCUUACCACUUUGUGAUUCAUGACUGGGGUGAAGUCGUAACAAGGUAACCGUAGGGGUACCUGCGGUUG